rnacentral:rRNA from 1 species
AAAACAUUUCUAUUAGUAUAUAAUUAAUAGUAAAAUCUGCUCAAUGAAUCUUAAAUAGCCGCAAUUUAGUGCUAAGGUAGCAUAAUCAUUUGUCUUUUAAAUGAAGACUAGAACAAAAGAUUUAACAUUUCAAUUUAUUUCUUUUUAUAAAUCUCCAAAUUAUCCUAAAAGUAAAAAGACUUUUAUAUAUUAAGAAGACGACAAGACCCUAUUGAACUUAACUGAAGUUAAACUGGGGCAGUUAAUUAAUUACCAUUUUAAUAUAAAUAAAAUUAAAAAAAGCCAAUUAAUUGAUAAAUGAGUUACCAUAGGGAUAACAGCAUAAUUAUAUUUUAAAGACCUUAUUAAAAAAAUAGAUUGUGACCUCGAUGUUGAAUUAAUACCCUAAUUAAAGCAAAAUUUAAAUAAAGGAAGUCUGUUCGACUUUUAAAAAAUUACAUGAUUUGAGUUCAGACCGGUGUAAGCCAGGUCGGUUUCUAUCUCUUAUAUAGUUUUUUGUAGUACGAAAGGACCUAUUAAUAUUUUAUUAUAUAUUGGCAGAAUAAUGCAUUAGAAUUAGAAUCUAAUUAAACUCUUAUCAAUUUCAUACUAAAUUAUAUUUUAAUCACCAUUAGCAUCUUAGUAAGAGUAGCUUUUUAUACCAUUUUAGAACGAAAAAUCCUAGGAUAUAUACAAAUUCGAAAAGGGCCUAACAAAGUAGGAUUUUUAGGAAUCCUACAAC